rnacentral:rRNA from 1 species
GACGAACGCUGGCGGCGUGCCUAAUACAUGCAAGUCGAACGCAGUGGGGACGGGUGAGUAACACGUGGGUAACCUCCCAUCAGAGGGGAUAACACUUGGAAACAGGUGCUAAACCGAUACUGAUGGAUGAACCCGCGGUGCAUGAGCUAGUUGGUGAGGUAACGGCUCACCAAGGCCACGAUGCAUAACCGACCUGCGAUGGUUAUCGGCCAAACUGGGACUGAGACUCGGCCCAGGCUCCGACGGUAGGUAGCAGUAGAGAAUCUUCGGCAAUGGACGAAAUUCUGACCGAGCAACGCCGCGUUAGUGAAGAAGGUGUUCGGAUCGUAAAACUCUGUUGUUAGAGAAGCGGUAUCUAACCAGAAAGCCACGGCUAACUACGUGCCAGCAGCCGCGGUAAUUC